CCGACCUUAGCUCAGUUGGAAGAGCACAAGACUGUAAGAGGAAGCUCGAUCUUGGGGUCGCCUGUUCGAACCAGGCAGGUCGGA